CCGCGCUAGAUGGGGAGGUAGCGGUGCCCUGUAGCCCGUAAUCCGCUAUAACGGGGUUGAAUUCCUAUCCGAGGCCCUUUCUGUGUGAGGUCUGGUCUGUUCAGACAGUGUUGACGAUCGGGUCCUGCGCAACGAGUGCUUCUGAACCGUGUCAGGUCCUGACGGAAGCAGCACUAAGGGAGAUUUCUCGUGUGCCGCAGGGGUGCCUGGUCUGAGUUGUCUGUACAGAGUCCGCUCAGGCAGAUGGUGUCGGAGAUAGGUGCGCGG
rnacentral:SRP_RNA from 1 species